AUUUAUUAAUUCAUCCAUUGAAUAAUCGUAGAAAAUUAAUCAUUAAUUUAUAUUUUUUAUUAUUAAAAAAAAUUAGCUAAUAUUUCUUCCUACAUACGCCCCUAUGAUCUGCAUCAAAAGAAAGAAUGAUCCUUUGAUGAACUAAUUCUAAAAUUCUUUCUCCAAAUCCACCUAAUACUCAAGAAAAAACAUGUCAACAGCUUGCAUGCAAACAUGACAAUACUUGAAUUAGAUUUCUCAGCAAAAUAAUUCCCAUCGCCCCCAAAAUACCUAUUCCCGUUCUUCCACCGAUU
rnacentral:misc_RNA from 1 species